GAAGCCAUAGAUAAAAGGUAUACAGUUCAAAUAUUGCUUAUAAUUUAUAUUUUGACUAUCAUAUUUUCAAUAGAUUCAAACACAUCUAUGAUGAUGAAUAUAUACUAUCGGCAAUAAUUCACCCACUAUUUAAAUUUGAUUGGCCCUUGAUAAAAUUAGAGGUCAAUAAAGGAAGAAUGCUGGAACUUAUUUCCAGUUUGAGAAAAGAUAUUGAUAAAGAAAGAACAGGCUUGAUUCCUUUAUCCAACACACACACUAGAAUAUUUUCAGAUAAAGAUAAAUUUUUUUUGAUGAGGAAAUGAAUGAAGAUCUCUGUGAAGAUGAUCUUUCAAGCUUUUUUCAAAAUAAAGAUAUUUCCUUAAAUAUUUUUAAUAAAUUCCCCGAAUUGAAAAUUUUGUUUAUUAAAUAUAACACCACUCUCCCAUCCUCUGCGCCAAUUGAACGUGUGUUUAGCACGGCGAAGGCUGUGUUGAGUACUAAGCGCUCAUGUUUAUCUGAUCAAAAUUUUGAAAAUCAAUUGUUAAAAAAUUGUUACAUAAAGAUGUUAUCUUAUAAUAUAUUAUUUUUGUAUAAUUUUAUUCAUAUUAUGAUUAUAUAUGAAAAUUUUAUUAUAAAAAGAUCUUAUCUUAUAUGUUCUUUUUUUAUAGUUUUAUUUUAUUAUAUAUUGUCGGAAAAAAAUAUUCUUUUGCAUUAUAUAUAACAUUUAAUUUUUUUAAGUAACGAGUAGCCCGUUAUUUUUUUGAAAAGCUGGUAACGCGUGUUCCUUUUGUAAAAUGGUAACGAGUAACGGUAACGCGUUCCAUUUUUCAGAUGUAACGAGCAACGGUAACGCGUUUCUUUUUUGUAGUAACGUUUACAGCACUAGUUAUAAUACAUUUAUUUUAUACAGAUCUAAAUUUUAAAGCUAUAAUUUCAAAGACCAUCAUGACUAAUAUCAACUUCAUAAUUGUUUGUUGCACUAGAGCAUGACAAUAAUACUAAUCUGAACUGAUGUUUGAUGAUUCAUUUGUUAAAAAUUUGCAUACAUUGAGGUCAGUUGUAUAGCAGUCAAUGUCAUUGACUGUAGUAGACACCAUCAAAAGACUUUUUAUCUAAAUUCAAUGCAAUGGUGGACUUCAAAGUGUAUCCAUUUUAAUGAAUAAAUUGAGUCCUCAAAAUUCAGUACCUAUCACAAUAUUUCCUGUAAAAUCUUUGAUUUCUUUCAGAAGGGCAUUAUUUGGGAUGAUGGAAAUCACUAGACAGUAUAUUACUUUAUAAGUAAAACACAGCAUUGCUAGCCUUCUAAAUUGGCAGGGGUCCCAAAUUUUUAGGGAAGCCCCCUCCUCACGAUUGACAUAUAAAAAGAAAAAUGGUAAGUAUUAGAUUUUGUACUUAAUUUUUUUUCCCAGGAAAAUAAUCGAUUGUGGAGAAGCCAAUCUAAUUAUAAUAUUAUUUUUUGACUUUUACAUUUUUAUAAAAAUAGAGAAGACACUUAUUGUAAGAAAUUAUUUUUUGUUAAUAAAAUAGGCAAAUAUUAUUAGAUAUACCAUUAUCGAAAAAAAAUUAAAUCAACCCGAUAUUUAAAAACCGAUCCGAUUUUUCAAAUAAAUAUUUGAAAAAAGUAUAAUAAACUAUUAAGUUCCUGUCGUUGUAUUUUAGCCAUAGCUUAAGCCACGAGAUUUCGCAGAUAGGUGUCCAAACCUUUAUCCCCCCUAUGAGCUGAGUUAGCUAUCGCCCCAAAUCGAGUCCUUUAACAAUACUACCGGUCACCCAUUUUUAUUUAAAAAAAUGAAAACUUUUUUAGAGGCGAGUAAAAAAAAAAUAUUUUAAAAAAUAAUACAGGCGCGCUCUUUGCAGGCGAGGCAGAGAUGAGAUUAUAUUUGGUAGAAAUAAAUUUUUUAUGUCAAAAUCAGGGAUUUGAACCGAACCUGAACCCGGAGGAGUAAACCCGGGUUUUUGAUAUGAACCCGAACCUAACCUGAACCCCAUUUAUAAAAUUUUUAAAACCCCGAACCGAACCCAGGAAUUUUUAUGAACCCGGGUUCAAGCGGGUUCAGUGUAUUGUUUAAAAUCAUAUAUUAAGGUAUUUGUAUAAUUGUAAAUACAAAUAUUAAUAAUUUAAUUGAGAUUUUAUAAUAUUAUCAUUAAGUGAAGUGAUAAUAAAUUUUAAACAACUUAAUUUAUUUACGCCAUUUUUUAAUUUAUUUUAAAAUUUAAUUUCAAAGAUUCCUAUUGGAGUGUUAAAUAAAUUUAAAGCAAUUAAAUACAUUCACGCCAUUUAUUUUCAAUUUUUAACUUAGUCUCAAAGAUUUCUAAUUAAAGGAAUGAACAAGUCAAAGUAAUAAAUAUAUCCAGCCAGUUUCAUAAUCCGAGCGACACCUUCCAGGGACCUGCGAUCUAUUUUUCGGCCCUCAAUCCGAAACCUGGUGUUAUAAAAUUUUUAGGCACCGACUUUUUAUAGAUGGAAUUAUGGAAAUAUGUUUCAAACUUAAUUUCUUUAAUAUCUUCUCUAUUAUGUGCUAUGCAUUAAAUAUAAAUGUUGAGCAAAUAAAUUAUGAUUUUAUAAUAUUUCUUGAUUUUAUAAAAUGAAAAUAAAACAUACAACUGACUAUUUAAACAGCUUUUUUCUGUUUUUUUUUUAAAAAAAAAUCAUUUUUGAAUUGUGAUAUUCAAAUUAGGCAAAAAAAGCUUAGAAUAAGAAGGAAAUAUAAUAUCUUUUCGGGCCAUGGGUCAGACCUCUAUUUUUUUAUUGAUCUUGCGGGCUGGGCUGGCUGCAUGAUUCUGCAACAUAUUACUAUAAAAUUAAUUAAUAUAAAUAUAAUAAAAUUUUAAGAAGCUUAUUUCCGAAAUGAAUAUCUUUUUGUCCAACAUAUUUUAUAAAGAAUUUAAAAUAAAUAAAAAAAGGUUCCAGUUUUGACUAAUAUCUUUCAAAAUUGCUUCCAGUUCCUGUAAAUUUUAAGGGGAUUUUCCAAUUCCCCUUUAAAAAAAGGUUCUUUUUCUAAACAUUUUAACCCGAUUUCGAGUU